rnacentral:rRNA from 1 species
UACGUAGGGGGCAAGCGUUGUCCGGAAUCAUUGGGCGUAAAGCGCGCGUAGGCGGCCCGGUAAGUCCGCUGUGAAAGUCAAAGGCUCAACCUUUGAAUGUCAGCGGAUACUGCCAGGCUAGAGUCCGGAAGAGGCGAGUGGAACUCCUGGUGUAGCGGUGGAAUGCGCAGAUAUCAGGAAGAACACCAACGGCGAAGGCAGCUCGCUGGGACGGAACUGACGCUGAGGCGCGAAAGCGUGGGGAGCAAACAGG